rnacentral:misc_RNA from 1 species
UCAAACUUGGUCAUUUAGAGGAAGUAAAAGUCGUAACAAGGUUUCCGUAGGUGAACCUGCGGAAGGAUCAUUAACAAAUCCAACAAUCUAUGUAUGCGUGUUGUGUUGUUGCGUUGCCAUGUGUGCACAUAUGUAUUGUGUGGUGUGUGCUGGUUGUGCAUGCACACGCACGCAUAUAUACAUUAACUCUCACUCCAUGAUUGCGUGUAAUAACCAAAAGGCGCGGUUUGGAGUGUGAUAAACAAUAUAUUCAUGUUUAUAUUUUGACUAAUACUGUGAGAUACAUAAAAAAUAAACUUUUAACAAUGGAUCUCUUGGCUCUUGCAUCGAUGAAGAACGCAGC